rnacentral:misc_RNA from 1 species
GGGGGGUGAAGCGAUCCCUCUUUCCGAGGACCAUAAACCAAACAGAACUGACGAGCGGAGGAGAAUUGAAAAUGCUGGGGGUGUUGUCAUGUGGGCUGGCACUUGGAGGGUAGGAGGAGUGUUAGCAAUGUCCCGUGCUUUCGGUAACAAGAUGUUGAAGCAGUUUGUUGUGGCGGAUCCUGAUAUUCAGGAUCUUGAAGUAGACAAGGACAUCGAGUUGCUUGUUCUCGCAAGUGAUGGACUUUGGGACGUGGUACGCAACGAGGAUGCAGUAUUAGUUGCAGGGAAG